rnacentral:rRNA from 1 species
GACGAACGCUGGCGGCGUGCUUAACACAUGCAAGUCGAACGGAAAGGCCCUGCUUUUGUGGGUUGCUCGAGUGGCGAACGGGUGAGUAACACGUGAGUAACCUGCCCUUGAAUUUGGGAGAACUUCAGGAAACUGGGGCUAAUACCGGAUAGGAGCUCCUGCUGCAUGGUGGGGGUUGGAAAGUUUCGGCGGUUGGGGCUGGACUCGCGGCUUAUCAGCUUGUUGGUGGGGUAGUGGCUUACCAAGGCUUUGACGGGUAGCCGGCCUGAGAGGUUGACCAGCCACAUUGGGCCUGCGAUACGGCCCAGUAUCGUACGUGAGGCAGCGGUGGGGAACAUUGCACAAUGGGCGGAAGCCAGAUGCAGCAACGCCGCGUGCGGGAUGACGGCCUUCGGGUUGUAAACCGCUUUCGCCUGUGACGAAGCGUGAGUGACGGUAAUGGGUAAAGAAGCACCGGCUAACUACGUG